ACUGUGAGCUCGAUGAGUAGGGCGGGACACGUGGUAUCCUGUCUGAAUAUGGGGGGACCAUCCUCCAAGGCUAAAUACUCCUGACUGACCGAUAGUGAACCAGUACCGUGAGGGAAAGGCGAAAAGAACCCCGGCGAGGGGAGUGAAAAAGAACCUGAAACCGUGUACGUACAAGCAGUGGGAGCACGCUUAGGCGUGUGACUGCGUACCUUUUGUAUAAUGGGUCAGCGACUUAUAUUCUGUAGCAAGGUUAACCGAAUAGGGGAGCCGAAGGGAAACCGAGUCUUAACUGGGCGUUAAGUUGCAGGGUAUAGACCCGAAACCCGGUGAUCUAGCCAUGGGCAGGUUGAAGGUUGGGUAACACUAACUGGAGGACCGAACCGACUAAUGUUGAAAAAUUAGCGGAUGACUUGUGGCUGGGGGUGAAAGGCCAAUCAAACCGGGAGAUAGCUGGUUCUCCCCGAAAGCUAUUUAGGUAGCGCCUCGUGAAUUCAUCUCCGGGGGUAGAGCACUGUUUCGGCAAGGGGGUCAUCCCGACUUACCAACCCGAUGCAAACUGCGAAUACCGGAGAAUGUUAUCACGGGAGACACACGGCGGGUGCUAACGUCCGUCGUGAAGAGGGAAACAACCCAGACCGCCAGCUAAGGUCCCAAAGUCAUGGUUAAGUGGGAAACGAUGUGGGAAGGCCCAGACAGCCAGGAUGUUGGCUUAGAAGCAGCCAUCAUUUAAAGAAAGCGUAAUAGCUCACUGGUCGAGUCGGCCUGCGCGGAAGAUGUAACGGGGCUAAACCAUGCACCGAAGCUGCGGCAGCGACGCUUAUGCGUUGUUGGGUAGGGGAGCGUUCUGUAAGCCUGCGAAGGUGUGCUGUGAGG
rnacentral:rRNA from 1 species